rnacentral:rRNA from 1 species
GACGUAGGGCGCGAGCGUUGUCCGGAUUUAUUGGGCGUAAAGAGCUCGUAGGUGGUUUGUCGCGUUGUCCGUGAAAACUCACAACUCAAUUGUGGGCGUGCGGGCGAUACGGGCAGACUGGAGUACUGCAGGGGAGACUGGAAUUCCUGGUGUAGCGGUGGAAUGCGCAGAUAUCAGGAGGAACACCGGUGGCGAAGGCGGGUCUAUGGGCAGUAACUGACGCUGAGGAGCGAAAGCGUGGGGAGAGAACAGG